ensembl:snRNA U6 U6 spliceosomal RNA
GUGCUCACUUCAGGCAGCACAUAUACUGAAAUUAGAACAAUACAGAGAAGAUUAGCAUGACCCCUGCCCAAGGAUGGCACACAAAUUCGUGGUGUUCCAUAUAUUUUG